UGUGGGAUUUAACUUGGGUCGUGGGAGGUCUACUGGCACUAUUAUAAGACCUUCCUCCGGGGGUGCCAUUGGUGCUUCACCAUUUGAGAAUUCUGUUCCUGGAAAAUCAAGAAUCUCGACUGGCAUAUUCAGUUAUCCAAGGGGGAAAACUCUUGACAUAUACCGCAGGCAAAAGCUCGGCUCAUCUCUUUGUAGCAUGCCUGAAAAUAUGGAAGAAGCUCCCCCAGUUACUCAAGUAAUUGCUAU
rnacentral:lncRNA from 1 species